CCCAGCUCCAAUAGCGUAUAUUAAAGUUGUUGCAGUUAAAAAGCUCGUAGUUGGAUUUCGGAAGGUCCUUAGUAAUCCGCCCCUUCGGGGAGCGGGUUGCUGGCCUCCUAUGUUCCUAACGGUCCUCAUCCGCGAGGGUGGGGAAUCAACCGCUAGGAUCGUUUACUUUGAGGAAAUUAGAGUGUUCAAAGCAGGCGUAACUCGCCUCCGAAUACGUUAGCAUGGGAUAAUGGAAUACGACUUCGGUCUUGUUUCGUUGGUUUCGCUUGGCUGAAGUAAUGAUUGAUAGGGACAGUUGGGGGCAUUAGUAUUUAGUUGUCAGAGGUGAAAUUCUAGGAUUUACUAAAGACUGACCAAUGCGAAAGCAUUUGCCAAGGAUGUUUUCAUUAAUCAAGAACGAAAGUAGGGGGAUCGAAGACGAUCAGAUACCGUCGUAGUCUCUACCGUAAACUAUGCCGACCAGGGAUCCGGAGAGUUUGCAUGGAUGACUCCCCGGGCACCUUGUGAGAAAUCAUAAGUGUUUGGGUUUUGGGGGGAGUAUGGUCGCAAGGCUGAAACUUAAAGGAAUUGACGGAAGGGCACCACCAGGAGUGGAACCUGCGGCUUAAUUCGACUCAAC
rnacentral:rRNA from 1 species